rnacentral:rRNA from 1 species
AGUGAACGCUGGCGGUAGGCCUAACACAUGCAAGUCGAACGGCAGCACAGUAAGAGCUUGCUCUUACGGGUGGCGAGUGGCGGACGGGUGAGGAAUACAUCGGAAUCUACUUUUUCGUGGGGGAUAACGUAGGGAAACUUACGCUAAUACCGCAUACGACCUACGGGUGGAAGCAGGGGAUCUUCUGACCUUGCGCGAUUGAAUGAGCCGAUGUCGGAUUAGCUAGUUGGCGGGGUAAAGGCCCACCAAGGCGACGAUCCGUAGCUGGUCGGAGAGGAUGAUCAGCCACACUGGAACGGAGACACGGUCCAGACUCCUACGGGAGGCAGCAGUGGGGAAUAUUGGACAAUGGGCGCAAGCCUGAUCCAGCCAUACCGCGUGGGUGAAGAAGGCCUUCGGGUUGUAAAGCCCUUUUGUUGGGAAAGAAAAGCAGCAGGUUAAUACCCCGCUGUUCUGACGGUACCCAAAGAAUAAGCACCGGCUAACUUCGUG